GAUGAAGAACGUAGCGAAAUGCGAUACGUAAUGUGAAUUGCAGAAUUCAGUGAAUCAUCGAAUCUUUGAACGCAUAUUGCGCUCUUUGGUAUUCCGAAGAGCAUGCUUGUUUGAGUAUCAGUAAACACCUCAAAGCUUUUGGAUUUUUUAAUCGAAAAGCUUUGGACUUGAGCAAUCCCAACACCAAUCUUUUUGAGAUCGGUGGCGGGUUGCUUGAAAUGCAGGUGCAGCUGGACAUUCUCCUGAGCUAAAAGCAUAUUCAUUUAGUCCCGUCAAACGGAUUAUUACUUUUGCUGCAGCUAACAUAAAGGGAGUUUGAUCGUAUUGGCUGACUGAUGCAGGAUUUCACAAGGGUCGGCAACGAUUCUUGUUAAACUCGAUCUCAAAUCAAGUAAGACUACCCGCUGAACUUAAGCAUAUCAAUAAGCGGAGGA
rnacentral:misc_RNA from 1 species